UACAGAGGUCUCAAGCGUUGUUCGGAUUCAUUGGGCGUAAAGGGUGCGCAGGCGGUUCUUUAAGUCUGAUGUGAAAGCCCACGGCUCAACCGUGGAGGGUCAUUGGAAACUGGAGAACUUGAGUACAGAAGAGGAAAGCGGAAUUCCACGUGUAGCGGUGAAAUGCGCAGAUAUCAGGAGGAACACCAAUAGCGAAGGCAGCUCGCUGGGACGGUACUGACACUAAGGCGCGAAAGCGUGGGGAGCGAACAGG
rnacentral:rRNA from 1 species